rnacentral:rRNA from 1 species
GAUGAACGCUGGCGGCGUGCCUAAUACAUGCAAGUCGAGCGAGCAGACGAGGAGCUUGCUCCUCUGACGUUAGCGGCGGACGGGUGAGUAACACGUGGAUAACCUACCUAUAAGACUGGGAUAACUUCGGGAAACCGGAGCUAAUACCGGAUAAUAUAUUGAACCGCAUGGUUCAAUAGUGAAAGACGGUUUUGCUGUCACUUAUAGAUGGAUCCGCGCCGCAUUAGCUAGUUGGUAAGGUAACGGCUUACCAAGGCAACGAUGCGUAGCCGACCUGAGAGGGUGAUCCGCCACACUGGAACUGAGACACGGUCCAGACUCCUACGGGAGGCAGCAGUAGGGAAUCUUCCGCAAUGGGCGAAAGCCUGACGGAGCAACGCCGCGUGAGUGAUGAAGGUCUUCGGAUCGUAAAACUCUGUUAUUAGGGAAGAACAAAUGUGUAAGUAACUAUGCACGUCUUGACGGUACCUAAUCAGAAAGCCACGGCUAACUACGUG